CCGAACUGUAACUACUAGCUGAAGAGCUGGUCUCUUGAGAUGCCAGCAUGGCACCUGCUGUCUCCUGGAAAUCCAACAAUUGUUGUAGGAAAAGGAUGGCGUUGCUGGUGAGUUCAUGAACUGUCCCAUCCUUUGGCAUGUUAUAUUCCUUGUCUGGGUCAUUCUUUAUGUUGUCAGCAAACUCUUCCAGUGCCUUUGCACCAGUUGUCUCCAUGGAAGUGAUCAGCCCUGGCAGUUUGUUCUUUGUGCCUGCUGCAGUUCCCUGCAAGACCUGGUCAAAUUCUGGCUUCAUCUGCUUGAGGUGCUUGAGGAUGGGGAAGAUGGUGAGCACAGCUGAAUAGUCGUGUCGGAUGAUGGCUUUCCGGGCUGCUGACACAAUGUUAUCGCCCUCCAUGAUCAAGUUAUCUAAUGACUCCUGGAUGAGGGAAUCAAAAGUCUUCUUCUGGUGGUGCUCUGGGACGAUUUCUGUCAGGAGCUGGUACUCACUCUGGGCCAGUUUGACAAAGGCACUCACACAGUGAAUAUACGCAUCGAUCUCGAUGUCGAACACAUCAUCCCUCCCUGGUCUCUUGAUUGGCUUUUUGGUGGGAGUGUCCUUCCUUUUGUUCUGAAUGGCAGGGGAAUACGGGACCCCUGUGGAAGAGCUGUUCUUACGGAAGUGGUCCUUCAGCCCCUUGAUGGAGCGGUCAAGCUGGACAGAGCGGAUUUGAAAGUACACUGUCAUGAAAUCUUGAUUCCUGCCAUUUUCCACCAGCCAGCCAGAAAUGCGGAUGACAUCGUGCAGGACACUCUCUGGGAGUUGCUCCAGUGACAUCUCCUCCUGUGUGUCCAUUUCAUCAUCUCCACUGAUCAGGUCCAGGAUGAGGAUGGGUGGGACAGGCUUGGUGUGUCGUGUCAUCAAGCUGCGGAACUCUGAC
rnacentral:lncRNA from 1 species